ACAAUGCCAAAAGCACCAAAGCCUGGUUCAAUGACCAUGGGAUUACUGUGCUUGAUUGGCCAGCUAACUCACAUGACCUGAAUCCCAUAGAGAAUCUAUGGGGUAUUGCCAAGAGAAAGAUGAGAGACAUGAGACUGAACAAUGCAGAAGAGCUGAAGUCUGCUGUUGAAGCAUCAUGGUCUUCCAUAACACCUCAGCAGU